GAAAAAUUAGUUAAAUUAUAACAUUAAAUUGUCAAUUUAAAAUUAAUAAUCAAAUUAUUAUUUUUCA
rnacentral:tRNA from 1 species